rnacentral:miRNA from 4 species
UUUGGAUUGAAGGGAGCUCCU